CGAAUGUCAAAACGACUCUCGGCAACGGAUAUCUCGGCUCUCGCAUCGAUGAAGAACGUAGCGAAAUGCGAUACUUGGUGUGAAUUGCAGAAUCCCGUGAACCAUCGAGUCUUUGAACGCAAGUUGCGCCCGAAGCCUUCGGGCUGAGGGCACGCCUGCCUGGGCGUCACGCAUCGCGU
rnacentral:rRNA from 1 species